GAUGAAGAACGCAGCGAAAUGCGAUAAGUAAUGUGAAUUGCAGAAUUCAGCGAAUCAUCGAAUCUUUGAACGCACAUUGCGCCCCCCGGCAUUCCGGGGGGCAUGCCUGUCCGAGCGUCAUUGCACCCCUCGAGCCCGCGCGGGUUUCGGUGUUGGGCCGCCGUCCCCCGGGGGGGGGGGACGGGCCCGAAAGGCAGUGGCGGCCCCGGGGCGACUUCCCGCGCGAUCGCAGCACCUCGCGGCCGAAGCGUUCGCCCCGCGGGCCCGCCUGGACCACCAGUGUGACGUACCGGUUGACCUCGGAUCAGGCAGGGAUACCCGCUGAACUUAAGCAUAUCAAUAAGCGGAGGA
rnacentral:misc_RNA from 1 species